rnacentral:rRNA from 1 species
CGCAAGCCUGACGGAGCAACGCCGCGUGAGGGAUGAAGGCCUCUGGGCUGUAAACCUCUUUUCUCAAGGAAGAAGAACUGACGGUACUUGAGGAAUAAGCCACGGCUAAUUCCGUGCCAGCAGCCGCGGUAAUACGGGAGUGGCAAGAGUUAUCCGGAAUUAUUGGGCGUAAAGCGUCCGCAGGCGGUCUUGAAAGUCUGUUGUUAAAGCGUGGAGCUCAACUCCAUUCCAGCAAUGGAAACUAGAAGACUAGAGUGUGGUAGGGGCAGAAGGAAUUCCUGGUGUAGCGGUGAAAUGCGUAGAUAUCAGGAAGAACACCGGUGGCGAAGGCGUUCUGCUAGGCCAAGACUGACACUGAGGGACGAAAGCUAGGGGAGCG